GAUAUGAUACCAUGCAAAAGAGUAAACUGAUGUUGAAGAAGACAUUUAUAUGCAUAUGCAUGCCCUAAAUCAAUUUUCAGAAGCAACUUGCUCUUACACGCUUUGAGGAUGACAAUCGUUCAUAAGGUCUUUCACUAAAUGCUAAUAUUUUAUUUUUCUUAUUGUUUUUGCUGUUGUUUGACAAAAGCAUUUCAUGUGCUCUUCACGCAGACUCUAAGGCUGUUUCGAUGUGACAGCCUAAUUCUAAUAUGCUAUAAAAAUAAGUGACUAUAAUUGUUGGGCUUUUAAACAAGACAUUAUUCUCCAUCUCUCAAUCUCAAAACCAUUGGGAAAUGUUUCUGCUAAGGAUUCUGGCACUGCUCUGGGUGUAGGGUAGUGGAGAAAGAAAGAUUUCAGAAUCAGACAGAGCCCCUAUGUCACUUGAUGGAUUGAAUUAGAGAUCAAGUGAAGUAAUGAGCAAAGACAAUAGCUCCCAGAUAAGAUAAGGCUUGGAGAAAAGAAAAAGCAAAAAACAAGGAAACAAACCAAAAAAUCUUAGCAAUGUAUCUAGAUAAAUAAAGUGUUGAUCAGAGAAGGUGGGUAGUAAAAAAUGGAAACAUACUAGUAAAUUAUAAGCUAUUUGAGUAGACAUACAUGAGGCUAUUUUAGCUUGAUGCCUUCACACUUUUAAAUCACGUAGUUAACAGUCCUCAUUGUGAUUUCAUGCUCACCAUGUAAUAGCCCGAUUACUGUGUGGCUUCCCAUGUGAUACACCUGCAGGUGGAGUGUCUGGUUGCCUCUCCAAUUAGAUUGCUCAUUAUAAAUUGAAAAACUGCUAUGCAUCAUUCUUUUUGAGUGGGAUUACUUCUGAUAUGUUGAUAAAUCAGUUUUCUAAGCCUCCUAGAUUUAGAGCCAAUCUUUGAACCAUGAUGAAUUUGAAGCGGUUGCCCUAUGAAGCUCCUUGGAGAUGGAUAGAAUGUCUUCUCUUAAGACUUCCAACAUCUCAUUGAUUGCAGCUUUAUAAAUUGCAUUGCAGUAAUUGCCCCUACUGACAGAGUGAACAUCAGCAUGCAAUAAAAUACAAGGUAG
rnacentral:lncRNA from 1 species